GAUGAAGAACGCAGCGAAAUGCGAUAAGUAAUGUGAAUUGCAGAAUUCAGUGAAUCAUCGAAUCUUUGAACGCACAUUGCGCCCGCCAGUAUUCUGGCGGGCAUGCCUGUUCGAGCGUCAUUUCAACCAUCAAGCCCCCGGCUUGUGUUGGGGACCUGCGGCUGCCGCAGGCCCUGAAAACCAGUGGCGGGCUCGCUAGUCACUCCGAGCGUAGUAGUUACAUCUCGCUCAGGGCGUGCUGCGGGUUCCGGCCGUUAAAAGCCUUAUUUACCCAAGGUUGACCUCGGAUCAGGUAGGAAGACCCGCUGAACUUAAGCAUAUCAAUAGCGGAGGA
rnacentral:misc_RNA from 1 species